AUACGGAGGGUGCGAGCGUUGUUCGGAAUCACUGGGCGUAAAGGGCGCGCAGGCGGUUUGGUAAGUCAGAUGUGAAAGCCCACGGCUUAACCGUGGAAGUGCAUUUGAAACUGCUUGACUUGAGUACCAGAGGGGAAGGUGGAAUUCCCGGUGUAGAGGUGAAAUUCGUAGAUAUCGGGAGGAAUACCGGUGGCGAAGGCGACUUUCUGGCUGGAUACUGACGCUGAGGCGCGAAAGCGUGGGGAGCAAACAGGAUUAGAUACCCUGGUAGUCCACGCCGUAAACGUUGUGAACUAGGUGUAGGGGGUGUUGAUCCCCUCUGUGCCGGAGCUAACGCAUUAAGUUCACCGCCUGGGGAGUACGGUCGCAAGAUUAAA
rnacentral:rRNA from 1 species